AUUGAACGCUGGCGGCAUGCCUUACACAUGCAAGUCGAACGGCAGCACGGGAGCAAUCCUGGUGGCGAGUGGCGAACGGGUGAGUAAUAUAUCGGAACGUGCCCAGUCGUGGGGAUAACGUAGCGAAAGCUACGCUAAUACCGCAUACGAUCUAUGGAUGAAAGCGGGGGAUCGCAAGACCUCGCGCGAUUGGAGCGGCCGAUAUCAGAUUAGGUAGUUGGUGAGGUAAAGGCUCACCAAGCCGACGAUCUGUAGCUGGUCUGAGAGGACGACCAGCCACACUGGGACUGAGACACGGCCCAGACUCCUACGGGAGGCAGCAGUGGGGAAUUUUGGACAAUGGGCGCGAGCCUGAUCCAGCAAUGCCGCGUGCAGGAU
rnacentral:rRNA from 1 species